rnacentral:rRNA from 1 species
GGCUCAGAACGAACGCUGGCGGCAGGCCUAACACAUGCAAGUCGAGCGCACCUUCGGGUGAGCGGCGGACGGGUGAGUAACGCGUGGGAACGUGCCCUUCUCUGCGGAAUAGCCUCGGGAAACUGAGAGUAAUACCGCAUACGCCCUUCGGGGGAAAGAUUUAUCGGAGAAGGAUCGGCCCGCGUUAGAUUAGGUAGUUGGUGGGGUAAUGGCCUACCAAGCCUACGAUCUAUAGCUGGUUUGAGAGGAUGAUCAGCCACACUGGGACUGAGACACGGCCCAGACUCCUACGGGAGGCAGCAGUGGGGAAUCUUAGACAAUGGGGGAAACCCUGAUCUAGCCAUGCCGCGUGAGUGACGAAGGUCUUAGGAUCGUAAAGCUCUUUCGCUGGGGAAGAUAAUGACUGUACCCAGUAAAGAAGUCCCGGCUAACUCCGUGCCAGCAGCCGCGGUAAUACGGAGGGGACUAGCGUUGUUCGGAAUUACUGGGCGUAAAGCGCGCGUAGGCGGAUUAGUCAGUCAGAGGUGAAAUCCCGGGGCUCAACCCUGGAACUGCCUUUGAUACUGCUAGUCUUGAGUUCGAGAGAGGUGAGUGGAAUUCCGAGUGUAGAGGUGAAAUUCGUAGAUAUUCGGAGGAACACCAGUGGCGAAGGCGGCUCACUGGCUCGAUACUGACGCUGAGGUGCGAAAGUGUGGGGAGCAAACAGGAUUAGAUACCCUGGUAGUCCACACCGUAAACGAUGAAUGCCAGACGUCGGGCAGCAUGCUGUUCGGUGUCACACCUAACGGAUUAAGCAUCCGC